UAUAUAUAUUUCGUCAAUAAACAAUCAUUUUACAAUGUUUUUUAUAAAAAUUAAAAAUUAAAUAUUUAUAUUCUGACAGGAGCAAGCAGAAGACAAUGUCUCUUAUCACCCUGCUCCUAAGUUCGUGAAAAUAUCAAUAAAGUUUUACGUAUUAACUUCUUAAAAUAUACGUUGUAUAAGUUUUAUAAAUAUUGCAAGUUUUGUACAUAAUACAACACAUCACAGUUCACAAAAUAUACAUAGGCCACAAGCAUAUAUACGUGUUAACAAAUCAAUAUAUAAAUGUUUUUUUAAAAAUACAAAAGAAUGUUUUUAUUAUUUAAAUCUAAUAAGUAUAGUUUAACGGCUCUUUUAAGUUUCAUCAUUGGAAUUUUAAGUAAUAUCAUUUACUAAAAGCCAAGACAUAAAUUUAUUUAUUUUGUAUUUUAAAACUUUUUAAAAUAUAAGUUUUAAAACUUUGGUUAAUUUUUAGGGUGGAUACUCAAACUUGCAUCUUGUAAUGUGGUUGGAGAAGACUGAGAGGAAGGGGGAGGGGCGUUAAGGGUGGCAUCGUCCCGCCCCUAAUUUCAAUUUAUGCACCACUUGUAUAUGCUGUUAUGUGAAAAAAUAUAAUUUAAUCUUUUUAACACAAAAUAUUAUGUGUUAAAAAGUUGUUUUUUAGGUUCAAAUAUUUAUAAGAUGGUAACAUUUCACUACGAGGGUGUUAAAACGUAACAAAGACAUCCACCCUUUAAUCUAAAAUAUACCACUAAUAUUUGGAAAUGUAAUGGAAGCAAAUUAGAACAACUUUUUGUGUAUAAAGAUAACAAAUUUUAUCAGAGAAAUACUCUUUCGUGUGAAAAA